GAACAGGCAAAUAAAAAAAAAUCAUUAAAACAUAACGACAACGAGCAGAGUUACACUAAUAGAGUGUAACUUUGUGGGAGUCUUUAUUUGUGUGGAGUUCAUUUGUUCAGUUGGAGGAGUAGAACAAGAAAAACUGGAAAAUUUAAAUACUGACAGGAGGGAGGAGUUCUUGUGGUUAGAAUUUCAAUGAAAUCAUUUGAAUGUAGAGCAUUAGUCCCUCCUCUGAUGUAGUAUAAGAGAUCCUAACUUUCAAUGCUCCUUGUUUUUUCCACCUUUUCAGAAUCAGAGAAGUUCCUGAAAGAAUCACGGGAGUUCCACAGACCAAAGUUUGCUGAUACUUAAGAAGAUACAAGACAUCUGUUUCCACUACACAAUGAGAAUUUAUUUGGUGCAAGCCUGGCGAUACCUAAUUAAGGACUGGAGACAGCUGGGAUCAACUGGCCAUUCCAGAAGAAUGAUUACCAGGCUGCUGAACGCUGCCUACCGAAGCCCUAUGCAGCGUCUAAGAACUCGUCCACAAACUCUAUCCGGUCCAGUGACUUUGUUGGGUUUGAUGUGGCUCAGGGGUCGCUUCAUUUCGUGGGUCCCUGUCACCAAUGCAGAUGAUGGUACUGCCAAUGGAGAGAAACCUUCUGUUUUAGGCUGGUUCACAUGGAUUUUUAUAACUCCUUCCAAGUACCCAGACAUCAUCUCCAACAGUGAUCUGAAUCAAAGGACCUCCUGCUGUCUACCAGCUGAG